UUAUGUACAUGGCUAAAGUGUUAAUGCACCAGAUCCCAUCAAAACUCUACAGUUAAGAGCACUUGGGCUAGAGUAGUACUGGGAUGGGUGACCUCCCAGAGGAAGUCCUAGUGUUUUACAUGCC
rnacentral:rRNA from 1 species